GGUUGCGAUCAUACCAGCACUAAUGCAUCGGAUCCCAUCAGAACUCCGUAGUUAAGCGUGCUUGGGCGAGAGUAGUACUAGGAUGGGUGACCCCCUGGGAAGUCCUCGUGUUGCAACCCC
rnacentral:rRNA from 1 species